ensembl:lncRNA
UAAAUAAAUAAAUAAUUAAUAUUUUACGUGUAUUUUUUUCUUUUUUGUACACACUAACAGUCUGGCAUCUUAUGCCUUAUGCGGUGUGUGUGUGUGUGUGUGUGUGUGUGUGUGUGUGUGUGUGUGUGUGUGUGUGUGUGUGUGUGUGUGCGUGUUCCAAGGAAAGGGAGGCGCUUCAAUCGGUGAAAGGGUAGACGAAGAGAGGAAGGGGAAGUUACACUGCGGCUGGGUGAGUCACUUACUUUCUUGCGUUCUUUGUCCGUAACUUUCAGAAUAAUAAUGAUGUAUGUGUACUCUUGCCUUCUUUGUGGUGAGUGUAUCCUUUUUUUUAUAUUCUCUGUAUCUCUGUAUGUAUAAAUGCUGCUGUAAUUAAGUAUUUUAGUGUUUUGGGUUUAUUUUGGAAAGUAAGUAAUGUGCAUUUGAAUUAAUUUAUGCAUUGACAUUAUGACAAUCACAAAAAUGUUUCCUUUAUUUCCACUUAGCUCUGAGUGUUGUGGCGGUGGAGCCUCUCAACUUAAAUGGACAUGUUGGGAAAAAUGUUACAUUCAAAUGCUCCGACUGGAACGUUUGGGCUGGUGUAAAAUCUAAUGUUAAGUACCUUUGUGAUAAUCCAUGCUCAGAAAACAAACACAUCAUCAUUAAAGCAGAAUAUGGAAAGACUGCACAUGAGAAUAGAAUAGAGUUAACUAACAGAGCAGAAGGUUUGUUUGUGACUUUCACUAAUCUCCAAAAGUCAGACUCUAAGAAAUAUUAUUGUGGAGUGGAGAGAUUUGGCCCUGAUCCCUUGAUAGAGGUGAAUCUUAAAGUUAUAGAUGAGUCUCCCAAGAAUACUCCAGCAACAUUUGCUGUUACAAGCAGCUCCACAGUGUCUUCAAGCAGCUCAGAUAGUAUUAGUGCUAUGUCUACAUCAUACAUCAUCCAUUGUACAACAACUACUGCACCAGCAACACAAAGAUCUGCAGACGCAUCACGUGCUGAUACACCACAAGAAGACAUGCGAGAGGAAGUUGAAUAUGACAAAAUCAGACCUGAGGACCAGCAAACUGCAUGCCAACCUGCAGGGGUCUCUACCCUCAGCUUCUCUGCAGACCCAGACAGUCUUUAUGCUAAUUAUUCCUCCCACCAAGGCACUGAAUUAGCAUUUUCCAGAGUCACAUUUCACCAAUGUGACUUGGUGUACUCUGUCAUUCCACUACCCAGUGAUCAAUCUGAACCAAAUCAAUCUGAAAGCAACACAAAUGACUCACUCUAUUCCAUGGCUCAGCUACCACAGGCAACCUGAAUGUGGCUACUGUGAGUGAAAAAAGGAACUUUCUUGAUCAUAUUGAUUAUGAUUUUUUAAAUGUAAAUUUAGAGAUAUAAUUUAAUAUAAAAUAAAAUGAGAGAUCAAAUGACAAGCAUAUUCUUUCAUCUUCAAUAAAGUAUCUUUCCGUUCAAUGAUAGUUUGGUAAGAGUAAUUACUUUUACUAAAUGGAUGGAUUUACUGAUAAUAAGCUUUCAGAAUAAUUUAAAUAAUACUUAGUGAGCAUCAAACUGCAAGUAACCCCCACCUUAAGAAAUAUGUUUGAUGCUUUACAUUCUGUAUUAAUAAUUGUAUUAUUUAGUGAGGAGUAAACAAGAAAGCCUGCCACUGUAUUAAACUUCAUGAUGCCAGAUUUGAAUCCCAAAACUCCUGUGACGUUGUCCAUCACUUGGUAGAAAGAACAUCUGCUUUGUGAUUCUAUUACUUUAUGAAAAUAUUUUAAAUUAACAAGUGGCUGAGACUGAGAGUACACAAAGACAUAUUCUUACUGAAAGGAUGUGUGUGAAGUUCAGUGAACAAACUGAAGUCUGCCUGUGACCCUGCUGGUUAUACAGUCUGCAGUAUAAAGUUGGAAUGAUGUUUUAUAAAAUGAAAUAUCCUAGAAACUGUACAUCACAGUUUUUUUUCUGAAUCUUAUCCUCACUAGUAGGCCUACUUAAUUAUGUAUUUUUAGAUCUUCUUCCUUUUUUGUGUCUUAGGCUUUUAUAAGGGUGAAUGGACGUGAUCCAGUAAUAUUCAUGAUGCUUCUGCCAUGUAUCAAGUAGAUCAGUAAGCUUUUUCUAUUUCAGACCACUUAGAGGAAGACUUGCCUCCCCAAAGCACCAUUACACAGCCCACAACUGUUUCACUUUAACAACUCACACUGGACCACUAAAUGCAAAUCUAUUGUUAUUUGAUUGUGAGGCACUUCAAGCCCAUUGUGUUUCUCUUUUUAAUAUAAAUAAUCCUCAGAUGUAUUUUGACAUAAAUUUAAAGUUAUUUGUUUAUUGUUGUUUUACUUCUACAAGAAUUGACCCUUUUGUAAACGUGUGUCUUUUUGUUUCAUUAUUUAUUCACAUAAUACAGUACAUUUAUUUUAGCAGGCUCACUUUGAGAACUGAAACUUUGCAUUAGUCACCUAUUACCUGAAACUAAAAGUGAUUUGCAUCUCUGUAAAGGGUGCUGUACAAAUAAUGUUAUCAAAUAAUUAAUUCAGAGAAUUGUGAAGUGUGUUCUUUAUAUUUGAGUUGUGCAAUUAAUAAAUCUGAGAGUUGAUGAGUUUUGUACUGUUAUGCUUUGUGGGGUUUUUUAUUGUGCACAGUGUGAGGCCUACAGUCUGUACUAGAAAUAGAUUUAAAUAGAAUUAAAUGUACAUUUCCUGCAUUCAUUUGAUUUUUAUUUAUUU